AUGCUAUGAUGAAUCAAACUUAGCUCACUAUGACUUAGACUAUGAAAACAUGUGAACAACUGAGAAAC
ensembl:snoRNA SNORD29 Small nucleolar RNA SNORD29